rnacentral:rRNA from 1 species
UGGGGAAUAUUGGACAAUGGGCGCAAGCCUGAUCCAGCCAUGCCGCGUGUGUGAAGAAGGCCUUCGGGUUGUAAAGCACUUUUGUCCGGAAAGAAAUCCUGUCGGUUAAUACCCGGCGGGGAUGACGGUACCGGAAGAAUAAGCACCGGCUAACUUCGUGCCAGCAGCCGCGGUAAUACGAAGGGUGCAAGCGUUACUCGGAAUUACUGGGCGUAAAGCGUGCGUAGGUGGUCUGUUAAGUCUGAUGUGAAAGCCCUGGGCUCAACCUGGGAACUGCAUUGGAUACUGGCAGUCUGGAGUGCGGUAGAGGGUAGCAGAAUUCCCGGUGUAGCAGUGAAAUGCGUAGAUAUCGGGAGGAACAUCCGUGGCGAAGGCGGCUACCUGGACCAGCACUGACACUGAGGCACGAAAAGCGUGGGGAGCAAACAGGAUUAGAUACCCUGGUAGUCCACGCCCUAAACGAUGCGAACUGGAUGUUGGGAGCAACUAGGCUCUCAGUAUCGAAGCUAACGCGUUAAGUUCGCCGCCUGGGAAGUACGGUCGCAAGACUGAAACUCAAAGGAAUUGACGGGGUCAUAGCUGUUUCCU